UACAGGGGGUGCAAACGUUGCUCGGAAUUAUUGGGCGUAAAGCGCGCGUAGGCGGCUACUUAUGUCGGAUGUGAAAGCCCUUGGCUCAACUGAGGAAGUGCACCCGAAACUGAGUAGCUGGAGUACGAAAGAGGGUCGCGGAAUUCCCGGUGUAGAGGUGAAAUUCGUAGAUAUCGGGAGGAACACCGGUGGCGAAGGCGGCGACCUGGGUCGAUACUGACGCUGAGGCACGAAAGCGUGGGGAGCAAACAGG
rnacentral:rRNA from 1 species